rnacentral:rRNA from 1 species
AUUGAACGCUGGCGGAAUGCUUUACACAUGCAAGUCGAACGGCAGCACGGACUUCGGUCUGGUGGCGAGUGGCGAACGGGUGAGUAACAUAUCGGAACGUAUCCAAUAAUGGGGGAUAACGAGUCGAAAGAUUCGCUAAUACCGCAUACGCCCUACGGGGGAAAGCUGGGGACCUUCGGGCCUGGCGUUAAUGGAGCGGCCGAUAUCUGAUUAGCUAGUUGGGGAGGUAAAGGCUCACCAAGGCGACGAUCAGUAGCUGGUCUGAGAGGACGACCAGCCACACUGGAACUGAGACACGGUCCAGACUCCUACGGGAGGCAGCAGUGGGGAAUUGUUCGCAAUGGGCGCAAGCCUGACGACGCAACGCCGCGUGGGGGAUGAAGGUCUUCGGAUUGUAAACCCCUGUUGGGUGGGACGAACACUUCCAUGGUGAACAUCCAUGGGAGCUGACGGUACCAUCUGAGGAAGCCCCGGCUAACUCUGUGCCAGCAGCCGCGGUAA